UCCGACCUCUCUUUCCCCCUCAAAUUACACAAACCUAAGAGUGAGAUGACCACCACCGCUGUUGCGUCUGAGACGACGACCACCGCCCGAGCACUAGGCCGCCACCACCAGAGACCCCCAAAUCCCCACCGUAUCUCCCCAUUCCUUAUUUAUUUCAGAAUUUAAGGGUUGUGUUCUUAUUUUGUCAGAACCGAUUGCGAUUCUACUGCCAUUUACAUUCAACGAGUUGCAGACACUAAUAUCGGAGUCUCUGUAGUUUCAGGGGUAUGGAUGAGCUCGGUGUCAACCGAUACAGAAUCUGUACUGAUACCGAAAAUACCGGUUACGGUACCAGUAUAUGAAAGUAAAAAAUGGUAGUGAACCAGUACCAGGAACGCUAAAAGUCGGUACCGAAUUGGUACUUAAAAUCUUUCGGUUCGCCAAAUUUGGCACCGGUACCCAGAACCAUUUGCUCAUCUUUGACCAUGGGUUUCAUACAACUAACAUCGUUACCAUA